rnacentral:rRNA from 1 species
UACGUAGGGGGCGAGCGUUGUCCGGAGUUACUGGGCGUAAAGCGCACGCAGGCGGUCUUUUACGUUUGGAGUGACAGUUGGUGGCUUAACUGCCAAAGUGCUUCGAAAACUGACAGACUUGAGGGCUUCAGAGGGACACGGAAUUCCGGGUGGAGUGGUGAAAUGCGUAGAGAUCCGGAGGAACACCAAAGGCGAAGGCAGUGUCCUGGGGAGUACCUGACGCUCAGGUGCGAAAGCCAGGGGAGCGAACGGG